GCUAUGGUAUAACUUAGUGGCAGACGGGUGAGUAAUGUAUAGGAAUCUACCUAGUAGUACGGAAUAAUUGUUGGAAACGGCAACUAAUACCGUAUACGCCCUACGGGGGAAAAAUUUAUUGCUAUUAGAUGAGCCUAUAUUAGAUUAGCUAGUUGGUGGAGUAAUAGCCUACCAAGGCAAUGAUCUAUAGCUGAUCUGAGAGGAUGAUCAGCCACACUGGAACUGAGAUACGGUCCAGGCUCCUACGGGAGGCAGCAGUGGGGAAUAUUGGACAAUGGGCGAAAGCCUGAUCCAGCCAUGCCGCAUGAGUGAAGAAGGCCUUUGGGUUGUAAAGCUCUUUUAGUGAGGAAGAUAAUGACGGUACUCACAGAAGAAGUCCUGGCUAACUCCGUGCCAGCAGCCGCGGUAAUACGGAGAGGGCUAGCGUUAUUCGGAAUUAUUGGGCGUAAAGGGCGCGUAGGCGGAUUAGUAAGUUAAAAGUGAAAUCCCAAGGCUCAACCUUGGAAUUGCUUUUAAAACUGCUAAUCUAGAGAUUGAAAGAGGAUAGAGGAAUUCCUAGUGUAGAGGUGAAAUUCGUAAAUAUUAGGAGGAACACCAGUGGCGAAGGCGUCUAUCUGGUUCAAAUCUGACGCUGAGGCGCGAAGGCGUGGGGAGCAAACAGGAUUAGAUACCCUGGUAGUCCACGCUGUAAACGAUGAAUGUUAAAUAUGGGAAGUUUUACUUUCUGUAUUACAGCUAACGCGUUAAACAUUCCGCCUGGGGACUACGGUCGCAAGAUUAAAACUCAAAGGAAUUGACGGGGACCCGCACAAGCGGUGGAGCAUGUGGUUUAAUUCGAUGCAACGCGAAAAACCUUACCACUUCUUGACAUGAAAAU
rnacentral:rRNA from 1 species